UUAAUUAGUUUCCCACUUCCUGCCAUCCCUUCUGUGUGCAUGUGUUUGGAGGUGCAAAUGCGUGCCCAGGAUACUGCUCACAUCUUAGAUCUUUGAUGUUGGUAAGGGAAUGUAGGCUGCAAUUUUGGCCAGAGAACUUGAUUUUAAAUUUGUGUUUCAUUUCCCAAAGCCCUCCCAGCUAAGCAUUGCCUGACCUGGUGCUGACAUGCAGGGCAUGCCAGGCACAAACGUGGCAGCUACUGCAGCUGCAGCACAGUGUGUGACUGUCCUGUCCUCCUGCAGCCAGGAAAGAGGAGCAUGGGAUCUAAGUCUGUGCACUAGGACUUCACCAGGAGAACGACAGGAAAUGCCCUCUCCUAGAAUCAGCAGCCUGGCAUGGCUGCAGCACCAACUCCAGCAUUCCUACUGCAGUGACCCACUUUACCAGCCUGAGGUGACAUGGGCUCCAUGGAUGACUCCACAGAAUCACUCUUUGGUAUGAGCCAGUACGAAGCCAGAAGGAAGGACUUGCAAGGGAGUGGCAGGAAGAAACAGAGAUAAGAACAUUCAUCCAAAGCAAAGAGGUGGAGAGGGGACAAUUUUGUUCCCUCAGUGCUGAGGACUGGCUUCAGCUCUACCUAUUCAUAGCCUGAGCCCACAAGCAAGGUGGGAUUUCUCUAAUUUCUAAAUUAGAGUAGCAUUUUUAAUCAGAGGAGUAUCCUGAGUUCUGCAGUAGGAAGGAACUGCUUAGAGUACAUGCUGACUUCUGGAGCUGCAGGGGCAGAACAAACCCCUCUGUCAGAGCAGGAAAAAAAAAGUACAGCUACAAGAAACAUGAUGAUUGGAUUCUCUCGCCUCUUUAAUGGCUUUAAGAUAACAGUGCCAACUCCCCAUGUUCUCACAAAAUCUCUGUGCUGGUCUUGUGGCAAGAUUUGCACUGUUCCAUGAGAAGCAGGAUCUGCUGUUGUGACUGGUGUUUUCCAAGGCUCCAUCCCCACAUGCUUGUGCUGAGAGCAGGCAGCAUCACUCUGUCAGCAGGGUCUCUGCUGAUCCUGGAUGGUCAGAAGUCCAGUUCUCCAAGGCAGUGGUUGCAGCAAUGUCCAGCUGCUAAUCCUUUCAGUUGGGCAGAAUAUAUGCUUGCUAUCAAGUGUCCAGCUGGGUGCAUACAGCUGUCCUGGCACCAAAGCAUCACAGUUUGCUCUGAGCAAACUCCAGUGCAGUAGUCAGGGCUCCCUGAAUGCCUUUGGCAUUUCCACUGCCCUUUGCCACGAUGGGAGAGCCUCCUGCCUUCCCUUCCAUCUGUGCACAGACAGCCAUAGCCCAGUCAGCAGCAGAGAACGCGGGGAGGCAGCUCUGGGGAAGAGACACAGCCAAGUUAUUUGUACUGUGGGGCAGCCUGCAGUCUGUGAAUAAAGAAAGGUAACAGCAUCCUCUCCUCACCCAGCCUCAGGCAGCCAUGACCCUGAGGACCAUACAGGCAGAGCUUACAUGUUAAUGCUGUGUCUUGCCCUGGGCAAACACAGCCUGGAGGAUCCAGGGAUAUCUGUGCCCAGCAGAGACUGAAAGCACAUCUGGUCCCACUACAGUCAUCUCAGGUCCUGCCCCUGUGUGAUUAACCACCAACACUGGGCAAAACCCCAGGAAAAGCCUCCAGCAGGACCUGUUGAGCAGUGGGUCCAGCCCCCCUUGGCAGGCAGGUUCCCCUUGUCUCCACCAGGCUUCUGCUUACCUUGGAUACCUGACAGGCACAGAGCACCUCACCCGAAGCCUGAGGGCUGAGCAGCAAGACUGAGGUGCCAGGAGACUUGUCACACAGCUGGUUCACUACUUUCAUUAGGAUCUAGGAGAGGCAGGGAGAACAGAGGUCAGGCAGCAGCAAAGAAGACCAGCAUCCAGCAGAAAAUGUGCCCAGCAACUCCCUCUUGCUGUUUGAAGCACCUGAGGUACCACUGGGCCAACAAAGAAUGUGGAUUACUCACAGAGAGGGAAUCAGCUGGGAUAGUAUCAAUGAUGACAGGCUGGUUGCAGUAUUUUGCUAGCAAGGUUUUUGCCACCUUCUCAGCCUGGAGAGAGAAAAGCAGAGCAUUUUGAAGGACUACAGGUGGCACAGGGUGGGCUGCAUGGGGAUAUAUCCAUGAAAUAUAUAUGCAAAAGGAAUGCAAGCGCUGCUCUGUAGGACAGAUGGGAGAUGUUUGAUAGCAGAAGUCAAAGUAAGACUAGCAGACUGAAAUCUCCAUGUGGAGACCUGUACAGCCCCCCUUCCCCAAAUGCAAGCAGAGAUGAACCCCCAUCAAAAGUGGAAUAGAGAGUGACUCAUUCAGUCCCCGGCCUCUCUCCUAGACCUAUACAGUGCCACAUGCCUCAGGAAGGCUUUGGUGGCAAGAUACUCCUAUUUUAAGGGACAAUUCUUCCUGAGAUGUCUAAGUUACCAGUAAGUAUUUCUAAUCUGCUUUCAAUGUAAAUUGGCAGAACACAUGUGGGAAGCACAGCAAAAUCCAUGUAGCUGGAGGAAAGACUCUACCCCAUCACUGACUGUAACUUUGUUAAGCCCACUAAGAGGACCAUCACAUCGCCAUGCAUAAACAAGGAGGUGAUGCCCAAUGCCUACUGAUGCUGGCCAAAAGUGCUGGUAUGAGGGUCUUUUCUCACAGGCAGGGAGACAUGGGAAUUCUGCAGGUGCUAAAAGCCCAGCCAGUCAUUCCCUGUAUUUCAGUAAAGGGCCCCAUAAACAAUGGCCAGCGAAACCAACCCAACACAGGGCCAGUGUUGCACCAUGAGUGAUUGUAUGGGCUUUCUUCUGCCUUCUCAGACUCUAGUGACUGAGUGGCCCUGCAGUGUGACAGAAACAUCAGGUCCACUGGUGUGUGCUAUCAGCUGGCUGCAAGUCAGUGUGCUGCUGUCUCAGUACCUGCUGCAGCUCCAGCUUCUUGAUAGCUGUGUUGGCUGUUCGCUGUAGUGCUUUCAGGAUGGUCUGUAGUUCUUUUCUUUGCCACUGUGGCAUUGCAGUGCUGGCCACCACCUGCAAGACAAUUUUCUCUGUUACACUAAACUGAUUCUAAAUUCUAAACCUAGACAAGAAGUGCCAGUUCUCUGGGAGGUCAGGCUGCAGCACGGCCUCUUCCCAGACCCUGCUUUAACCAGGUGACCAGGGCAGCCAGUCACUGUGCUGAGCAGCUUUCUCUUCAGUCAUCUGCAACACAGCCACCUGGACAUUAGCAAAAAUCCUUAUGACCAAAGAGGCAACAGCAGGUAGAAACCUGCCCUUGCUAGUGACCAUGGUAAGAAGUGAACCUGAUAGGGAAAGAGUCAUGUGUCUCAUGUGCCCAUGCUGGGCUUUCUGUACAGGAGUGUAACCCUUACUUUGGUCAACUGGCCCACUUCUUUGGAGAGGUUCUGCAUCUCAGGAAUAGAGGUGAUCCUCUGCUUCAUUCGUAGGGAGACAGAGUCCACUUCCAUAGCCAAGCACUGGCCUACUUCCCGGGCCUGCAGAGAUGGAAGGAAUGCAUGCUUCAAAUGCAGCAACAGAAACAGUCCACAGGGAUGGAGAAGGCAGGGAGACAGCAGGGUCAUGAACACUGAAGUGCUGCUCAGAAUCCAGUACAAAGACACCUCCAGAUGGUUUAGGAAUGACUGUUCCUGCAAGACUCUGAAAUACAACAUUCCUCUCUAGAUUUGCAACCAACACUAGAUGGUCACACUCAGGCAGACCAAGCUGUUGAGCUUUAGGUGAUAUUUAUGGUUGAAAUUAAUGUUUCCUCCAAAAUGUGCACCAAAAUCAUUAGGAUUUCAUUAGGGAAAACUGGGGAGCUCUGUGGAGCAUCUUAGAAAUCUUUUUCCAUUAGCAAAUGCAAUCUUGAAACUGCUGACUGAAGAAACAAGAGAAACACCAACACUAAAAGAAACCUCAUCAGCCAUUGAUGCAUAUUUCCUGAGUUUACCUAUCCUGAUAUAUUUCUUAUUGCUUUCACCAACAAUGCUACUACAAAUAAUUUUUUUAAAAAAGCUAUUACAAGCUUUUUUUACCAGUGACAAUCCUUAUAUUUUGGAGCAUUUCCUCUCUACCAGAUCUCUGUGCCCAGGAUGGUCUUGCAAGACUUUAGAGGAGGACAGCAGAGGACUGCUCUGCCUACCUAGGCUACACAACCCUUGUUUCAAGUAAAUCUCUCUGCAGUCUCCCUUGUCUCAUUAACACUUGCACAGAGCUCCUCUUAGGGGCUCUCCAGGUCAGCACUUCCAGCCAAGCAUGCAGAUGUGCCCUGCAGCUUUUUGUUCUUCUGCAUGAAGAAAAGCCUCUCUGGGACACAGAUGCACAGGGGAUGGCCAGCCAAAAAGGAACAGAUUUGCAGGGGUGGGCUUUGCCUUUAGUCUUUCCAAUUCCAGUGACUAUGAGUCACUCUCCUCUGACAGCAGCCUCAAAGGAAGAGGGAAGGCUUAUGGGGCACCUGAUGCUUCCGAAUACUCAAAGGACAGAGUGAUCUCACAAACACAAUAGUAGGUUGCUUACUUUUUAUACAGAACCAGCCAGACCAGAAUCACAGUUUAGCAGGAGAAAGACUAAAGACAGGAAGCAAAAGCGCUGUAAGAAUGAGGCCAAAACCCUGUAAUCAUAAAGUGUAAAUCCAGCUGUGAUAAGCAGGAGGCAAAAUCAAUGCACGAAGAAUUACACCUUAAAAUACCUACUGGGGUAGGUACCUAUCAGGCUUCCUGAUAUUUUGUGUAAGUUUUUAUCUUGGAAAAGGCAGUCUGAAGGGAGAAAUGAAGGUCAAGGAGACAGAGAACUAAGAUGGGAGGGAAAGGAGGUGAACAGUGAGGUACAGUAGCAGAGCUGAGUCCAAGGCUGAAGCAGGAAGCCAGAUGUGGCACAGCAGGAAGGCUCCAACCAAAGCAGUGGGGAGCUAAUUGUCUAUGAGGAACCUACAAAGGUUGUUCCUUCUGGCACUGCCUUGACAUGGCAGAAAUCUCAUUUCCCUCUUUCUCACCUCUUUGGCUCGUCCCCCUGUCACUGCAAUGACACGGCUAAUCCCCUUGACAAGCUGACGCUCGCUGAUGAUGGCCAGGUCUUCCACUGAUCCUGUUUGGAGAAGGUGCCUAGAACAUCAGCAGAGAACAGGAAAGAAAGCAAGUUGCUCUUUGCAAACAGAAAUCAAGAAGCCUGCUUGCUUUUUCAAAAAUUCUGAAGUCCAGCAGCCCUUUGCUAAUCCUAAUCCCAGUAUCUUGAAUCCUUUCCCAUCCCUAAAAUCCUGAUGGUACCUUGUCAGGCAAGAGACAGCCGAGUUGAGGCUACCCCAGAGGAACCUCUGUGCUACCUGCCCAGCAGGCUCCAGUCAAAUGGUGCAGCCAAGUUCUGUCCUCCUUUCCUCUCCUUCAGCAGUGAGAUGAAUUGGUGUUUUUCUCCUCUACUCAGCUCCUGUACUCCACCACUCUCUUGUCAGGCCAGCUCACUGUCUGGCCAGUAGACUCCAGACAAAGGACAGUUGUGCAGUCUCAGGACACUGACAACAUCCCUUUUCCUUCUUGUUUAUUCAAUGCUGGAUAUGAAAACUACAGUGUCUUGGGUUCUGUUACCACAAGCAAGCAUUCCAGACAUCUUCAUAAGAAAUUAUCAUCUCCCAUGCACUUUCUUGUUCCAGUACUCCCACAAGAAGAUCUCAUGGGUAGAAAAUUGCUCAUUUCCAGCUCUAUCUGCUCUAAGGCCAGUUUGUUCCUUCUUUUUUUUUUUUUUUUGGUGUCAGACUAUGAAGUAAGGAAAAAUGCUGUGCAUUUCGUUAAAGUUUGCUCACCCUGGAACUUCCAAAGCUUUGUAAAUAGCCCAUCCUGUCCUCACAAUAUUUUUCCAGUGAGGAAACUUAGUUUCACAGAGUCAGGGAUGUGAGCUUGUAGUCAUGUUUCUACCUCAGCCACCAGUGCCCACACACACGCCUUCUGGCUGCAAGUAAAAGUCACUUACGUCCCACAGCAGAGCUCCACAGAGGUCUGCAUUGCAGCCUUGGAGUCACAGGUCAGCACAUUCUCCACAGGGACCCCCAGGGACACUAUCCUCACUGGAUCUGGAUACCCCUGACAGAGGAGACAGGGGUCAGCAGCUAACAACAUGGUUUUUCAGGGGCACUUACAGACUAACUACAUGGUUUCUGCUUCAUUUUCCCCCUAUUCUAAAGGAGCCCCUGAGUCAGGGGUGGCACUACUUCUCCCUCACAACCAGUCACCAGUGGGUAAAAGAAACAAUUGGUGACACGACAAGCUUUGGUCCACAGGCAUAAACAGAAAGCCUGUGCAUCACCAGUCUCCAUGUUUUACAACAGUGUCCUGAGAGCUCAUCUCUGUCCUAUUUUCCCAUCUGAGUUUUGGGAGACAAUUCUUUUGCAAAAACAUGUUGUGUCAACAUCUCGUGUCUCAGAUGAUUCCUGCUGAAGGAGAAAGCUCAUGAAGAUGUGUGCUGCCAUCGUGUCAUACCUCAUCCACUGCACGGAGUCCCUGAACUCUCCUUGCCAGUGUGAGGGGAACUUCAGCCAUAUGCACCACCUCAUUUUUCUGGAUUAGGUCCUGGACCACUUGUUCCACUUGCUGCAGCUGCUCCACGGUCACAUGGCCCUGAGGAAGCAAAUCAGCCACAUUCAGGAGAAACCUCCUGAGAGAUACAGAAUGAAGGAGGGAGAUCUGGGGCACAGCAACCAGAUGACUCAGCUUGGGCACACCACUCUUUCCCUGCAUCUCAUCUUCUCAGCUUGUAAAAGGGAACUGUGAACAUCAUGGCCCUCCCACCUUCUCGUCCCAUGAGACAUAAGGAUUUUUGAUGCAAGAGCACCAGCCAAAGUCUUCAAAAGAGAUACUAGAACGAGUGACAGGUUACCAGAGCCAGCACUCACAAAACUUCACAAAUGCUCUCACCUGAAUGCCCAGUAGAGACAUCAGAUAUGUGCCACAGCCAAGCACCAUCUCUCAAAGACUCCUUUACACUAUUUUGUGCCAGUCCAUGACCACUGGCCUUGCUAAGUCCUUUCCUUUCUGACCCCCAUUCAUCCCCUCAGCAAGCCCUGCCCAGGGUCAUAUCAGUGCAAAUGGACACAGUCACGUCCAGAGGACCAAGCUUCAUUACUCAGAUAAAAUGUGACUUGUCUCUAAAGGAGUGAUUACGGGGAGAGGGGAAAAAUCCCUGGAGAGAAGAGCUGUACUGGAAUGCUGGUACUGCUGAGAGCUAGGGAACCGGAGUCACCUUGGUAUCAAAGUCGAAGCGCAGGCGCUCUGCUGCCACGUGGGAGCCCCGCUGCUCGGUGCUGUCGCCCAGGACACGGCGGAGCGCGAAGUUCAGCAGGUGGGUGGCAGUGUGGUUCGUCAUGCAGGCCAGGCGCUGCACCUGGAAGCACACACCAGCUAGCAGGGAGUGCUGGCUCUCCACAGCUCGGGGGAGCAGGGGAUGGCACGAAGAGAUAAGGAAAGGGCUCUUAUCCCCUGAUAGGAGGGGAUGGAGGAAAAACAACAGGUAGUACAGCUGUCAGAUGAGUUAUGUGACAGGGCAGAUCUAACUCCUUUUUUCAUGGGAUCAUCUUUGUAAAACAUUAAGAGUAGGCUAGACACUUUUGCACAGACCAAUGGCUCACAAAUUACACAGUCAGUUGUGAUAUCUCCUUCCCACUGCACCCUAUGACAAAGGACAGUCUCAAGAAUACAAGGGACAAAGACCUGCUGUGCCCGGGUUACUCAGGACAUCACAAGGAAAAGGUUAAGAGCACUAAUUUAUCACCUCAUCCACAAAGAGCUGCACUUGGUCGCCAGCACGCAGGGUUUCCACAGCAGUGACCUCGUGGAUCACGUAGCCACCACAGAGAUGAACUGACUCUACAGGGAAAAGUACAUCCUGAGCAAAGAGACAGAAAAAUGAGUCAGGACACAGGGAAAAUCCAAAUAUCUGUGCUAUGUACCUGCUCAACCCUACUGGGAAACACAAUUCCCACCAAUCCCUAAAAGACAGGGAUGGGGUGGGAAAAGCAGAGAGAAGCUUACUGCAAACAUAACCAAGGUAUCUCAGACCUCACCAGUACCCAGCCACUCUCUACACAGUAUGCUGAGGCUGCCAGUUUGCAGUGGAGGGGCAGUAACACCAUCCAGGCUGACAAAUUUUCUUAACAAUUGUGCUCAUCCAUGAAAAAAUGAACAACAUCUCCCAAGGCAUGUCUCUGGCAUCCAAGGUACCAUUUCUGCCUCACUGGGAUGGCAACAAAACUGGACCACCACUAUAGCUUGGGAGAAGUGCUGAGCAAGGUACUGUAGCCCUCUGCAAGGCUAAAAAGGCCCAAGGGUGAUUAUCAAGACUUGGAAAUGGGGAAAGGAGAAAAGGUUGCACCCUGUGUAACUUCCCAGAACAGGCUCAAAGCUCUCCCUUUGGCAAGGCUGAAGGAACAUGCUGCAGAAGUGGAGGUCCUCCCUGAUGCUCUUGGGAGGAAUAAGAGGUUUUGCACUGGGUCUCAGGCUGGGGAGCACUUGCAGCUGUCCAGGACUGAACAGAGAGAAGUUACUCAGUUCACAGACUCUCUGAUCAAUGUUUGCCUUCUCUCAGCAUUACAACCCCAGCUGGCAAGAACACAGCACACUGAAGGAAGACCUGAGAAGACUUUAGCCUUCCUCAGCAAGAUGAAAUUGCAAAGGGCUGUGAGAGACAACCAGAGCAGCAAGAAUGCCCUUGUGAAGUUACUGCUGAUUCUGCCUUACCCCACCAACUCUGAUACUAUGCCAAGGGAACUGUCAAGAGUCAGCAGCUUGCAAAUUAACACAGUAGAACAACCCAUCACUUGGAGAAUUCUGCCUGGCCUCAGAACCCAUGGCAGCCUUGGGUUAGGCAGGAAAAGGCCUUACCUGCUGUCCUAAACGUAUCAUGUAGCCUCGGUCAGAGUCCUGCCCUCCCUGCUCUGCAUAGAAGUUAGUCCUGUCCAAGAUGACACCACAGCGUUGCCCUGCCUCAACCUCCUUAUGGAGAGACUGAUCUCUGUACAGCAUCAGGACAGUGGCCUGGCACGGGCUGAACUCUGUCAGGGGAAGAAGACAGCAGCUGUUAGUGCAUACAGCCUGUCAGAAUGCAACAGGAAAGGAGGGAUCACUUCCCCGUGCCAACCCUGGAAACACCUGGGCUACACUGAAAGUUGGCACUUUGCCUUGGUAGGAGAGGAACGGCUACUGGCAGAAGGGACAAAGGACUGGAACUAAGUCACCCCUCAGUCUCCUAAUGACAGAACUGCAGAGUAGCAGCUAAGCAGGCAGGACACCCAAUCCAGCUCCACAUGAGCCUGGCAGAAGAAAAUGUGACACAGACACAUCUGCAUCUUGCUACACUGCAAGCUUGGCAAACCUGACUGACUUUUAUGAAGAUGCUGUGGAUAGGGGACAGCAGGGAUGUCACAUUCCUGGGUGCAGCAAGCUUCUAACAUGCUCUCCUGUAGGCUCCUUGAACCCAAAGUUGGGCACUGUGGACAAGUGGACCAUAAACUGGGUGUGUAAUUGGCAGGGCAGAGGGCCCCAGUGAGAAUUGCUCAGUAGUUCAAUGUUCAACUGAUAGUUGUAGUAGUAGUAGUUCAAUGUUCAACUCAUAUUCAGCUAUAGAGCUACUUGGUGGCUGAUAUAAUGGACAACACCAGUUAACAUCUUCAUUAAUGACUAUCCAUGAAAAAAUGGGAUGUACCCAUAUCCCACUUAAUUGGCAGGGACUGGCUAAUACACUGAAGAACUGGACUGUUUUUUGAAGGCAUCUGAGCAGUCCACAGAAAUGACCUGACAGAAAUCUUAGGUGCUCAGGAGCAAGCUGAUCACAAGCCAGCAGGGUGCCCUUGCAGCACUGAAGGCUGCCUGCCUGCUGAGCUGUAUGAACACAAACAUAGCCAACAGUCAAAGAAAGAGGUUAUUCAUCCCUAUUUAGCAUUUGGGAGACUGCAUCUAGAGUACAGGAAAUUCUGGCUGUACAUAGAGAAAAAAACCUUUACACACUAAGAGUGAUAAAGAACAGGGAACAGAUAGGCUGUGAGAUUUUUGUCCCUGAAGAUACUGAAAACCUCUGAGCAAUGUGAUCCAACUGUAAAACUGAUGUUACUUUUAACAAGAAAUUGGACGUCCAGAGAUCCCCUUCAACCCAAUUAUUCCAUGAUUCAGAAGCUGAGACAGUUCUAGUUUGGGGAUUUGAGCCAGUAUCACUGCUAGGCUUUUUUCCUCUGUUGUGCUCUUGCUGUAGUAUAUAUAGCUUGCAUUGCCUCACUUUCUGCUUAGCGUGGGCUGCCACCAGCACACUGGGUAAAAGGGAGUUGGCUGUACACAGCCUUCUCUAAUUGUCUGUGACAGCCACACCACCUCUUGCUCCCUGUGGCUUAUCUUCCUGCCUUCCGCAGAGCAUCGGCAGCCUCAGUUACCCGAGGUGAUGAAAAGGCUGCGCUGGCACCUAGCGGUCUGCCACGGAAACAGCAAGGGCAGGGUUUCACACAACUACCUUUGCAUAUAAUAACCCUUGCGUAAUUAUCCUUCUUUCUCCCGAGCACACACCCAGAAGCCUAAUUGUUGGAGACAGACUUAUCUCUAGAAGAAAUCAACAGUCCCUGUUUCACCACUGCACCCAGUGGUGCCAACCCAGAGCUCAGCCUUGUCACCAGCCCAGAGCCUUCCUAGGGACAUACCAACAGCACUAAGAAAUGCACCCAGUUUGGGAUGAGGUACACGGGUAGGGAAGAGACGUGGCAGCAAGGUGGACAGGUUUGGACCACGAAGUUGUGCUUGCAUGGGGGUUAGGCAGCAGAAGCAGCCAUGUGAGGGACUCCAGGAGAGCCUGCUGUGCAGGUGGGCCAGGCACUCACCGUACUGCCCGUGCUGCCCCAGCGUGUACGCGUACUUCGGGGAGUCAUCCGUAGCAGGCACGUUGCUGUUCUGCAGCCAAGCCAGCGAGUGCACGUCCAGCUGGGUGUUCCUGUUCCCUGCCUGUCCUUCCUGUGGGCUACCAGCCUUCCGCUGCAGCAGAGCAAAGGCACAGUUAGAUGGGAGAUCCCUGGGGCAAGCAAACAGGUAACUGGAGCUGUAAGGCUAGGAAUGGCUUCUUCCACCUCCAUGGAAAAGGCUUGCUCAGAUCCAGGCUGAUGUAGGCUACUGCUAACUAACCCCCCAUCCCUUCUAACCUCACAAGCACAGAAUACCACUCCGUGCUAGCCUUGAGCCAGGCCAUACCAACUGUUAACACAUCCCUCUUGGCACAGCUUCCAGGCCAUUAAAGUGCAGGAGAGCAAGGCCUCAAACCAAUUACUGCACUAGGGGGUGGUGGUGGUGGGUGGGCAGUGCAAGUAUAUCAGCAGUACAGAGAUCAUGGAGAUUUUGUAAACUCUUCAUAAAUAAUUUGCUGCUUCAGCUGUCUAAACUGGUUCUACUUUGUGUGAGAAGUUAGACUACAUGACUAGCAGAGGACUGUCCUAACCUACAUAAAUAUUUCAUAACCUUCACUCCAGCAUCAUAAAAUACCUGAAGAAAAAUCACCAACCAAUACUUCAGUUCCACAUUCAGAAACAAGGGGAUUGUGAUGACACUGCUAUUUCAGACUCCCCCUUCAGGGAGAAGGCAUGUAGCCCUGUGGUGCUCUGAAGAGCCUCAGCAGUGAAAGGGAUCCUGCUUCCACAGUCACAGGAGAUAGCAUCAAGUCAAUCAGAUCCAGAGGGAAUCCCAAACUCCCAUAGAGAGACCAGGCUACUUCAGCUGUAAGAUAAAAAGAAGGUCAAGAACUCAGUGAGAACACAGAAAGCAAAGGCAUCUGAAGAUUUGUCUGGGUGGGACCAAUCUGGGUGUGUGCUUUGGUAACUGGAUCCACCUGUAUUGUGUGCAACUGUACAGUUAAUGGGGAAGAGAAGCCUUGGAGUCCUUCCUGCAUGUGACUGAGUAUUAAUAAUGCUCCACAGCCCCCUUCCUGCUAAAAUUCAGCGCAGCACAUCUAGACAGGCAGCUGCACUGGCUGGGUCCUGUGCUACUCCUCCCAGCUGUGUCUUACAAUGACCUCAUUGAUCAGCCAAUAAAACAGCAAGGGAAUGCUUCUAACUUGCCUGGUACCUAGUUUGUUGUACUAGAAAACAACUGCAAUUUGGAGAAAGAACAUCUGCUCCUCUGUCUGGGGCUAGACAGUCACAGAAAAUGCAGGGGACGCAAACAUCCACCAGUUUUGACUGCAAUGCUUGCGAGGACCUGGAGCAAAUUGUCUCUAAGUGCAGCUUGUCAGAGGAAGGACACUCACCUGGGAAAUUUGUGGAGGGCUCCAUCUGCUGCACUGUCCGCUCGAUGAUGCGCCUCCCACGCUCCAGGGAGGACAGAAAUGAGGCCUCGUUCUCAUUGAUGAUAUCCUUGAUCUGCCCAAGGAUCAGAAGGGUUACCCACAUUUCAGGGAGUUCCCCAGAUCACCUCAGCCCUGCUCAGUCAGCUCAAAGCACAUCAACCAGCCUUUCUGUUCUGCACGUAUCCAUCACAACAUGGCUCUGAUGCAUUAUUGAACAGUGCCAAAGUCAUUGUGCCUCCUGUCACAAUUCCUGUCAAAAAAAUAUUGACCGUCCAUGUGGGGAAAGCUUUAGGUUGACAAAUGUUCCCUACUGGGCAUUCAUAUCUGUGACCCAAUUACAACUGUAUGUCUGGAACAGCCAGAGAAGUUGCUGUCAGUGGAAACAAGCUGGGACUAGCCUUAAAUCAUCGUUCCACUUUAGACAAAGGGUACCCAGGCGAGGACAGGCUGUACUUGCACUCAACCGAAAAAGCUACUGUAGCUUUUUUAGAGCAAGAGCCGCCUUACACAGCACAUGCAGUCCCUGGUAAGGACCUAGUGGACCAUAUGGAAAUCUGCCACAGAUACUUGUGCCCAGAACAUCUCAGCCUCCUCCGCAGCCACGUUCUGGUGGGUGGACUACGCAAGCUCCUCCAGCUAAGUCCCAAGGGCGGGCUGAUUUCUGGGCUUGAGAGCAGUGUCUCACAAAGAUAAUGAGAUAAUGAGGGGAUUCCACAUUGCUCACCUGGUUGGCAUUCCUUGUCAGCUCUGGAUAAGCAUCUCCCUGUGAAAGUGAGCCUCAGUUAGUGACAACACCCUCAGCAUCUUCCCCGGGGGAUCUCACAGCAUGUCACAAACAUUAUAGAAGUUACUUGCAUACACUUACACAUGCUUGUGCUGACUGUACCAUUGAUGACACUAGGCCCCCUCCCUCCCAUCCCAAGUGAUAUGGGGACAAGAAGUUUUUAAUGCUGGAAUGCAUAGCAUCACGUACACCUUCGUGGACCCUUCCCAAGAUUGACUCCUGACAGUGUGCAGAAAAUGGACAUAGGGCUGAAUAGGAUCUGUGAUGACCUUUUUCCCCAAAGACAACAGUUUUACUCACCAGCACUUCCACUACGGUAGGCACCAGGGAGGCCAGGAGCCCAGGUGGAGCCUGCAGAACUUCAGAGCAAAAGCGUACAGCCCUGCGCAGGAUCCGACGCAGCACCAGUCUGAAAACAGAGCAGGAUUCCUCAGGCAGCCUUGUGAGCACCCCUGCCCAGCUGCCACACCAGCAUCCCCCAGCUCAUCUGGUCUGAUUCAUCAGCACACGCCAGCUGCUUCCAACACUCUACACUCAUCCAAGGGGAAGUCUGCAGAUUGGCACCCCUUCCCAGCUCUCAUCUUCCUGUCUCCCCAAAAGCUCAUGCACUCCCUAUCUGGGGCCCACACCAGAACCUCUUCCCUGGCUGUUCAUACUCCUUUCUAGACCUAACUUCCUCCACCCCAUGUCAUUUCCUUAUGUCCUUACUCUGCUCCAGAGAAGCCUGGGUAGAUGCCAUCAGUGAUGCACACGCACAGGGCGCGCACGUGAUCUGCCACCACGCGGUAGGCCAUGUUCACAUGCCCAAUGUCAGCAUUCCCGACCAAACCUUGGUAUUUGGGUGCCUUGCAGCCCUAAAAGAGAAAGUAGGGAGACAAGUCAGCAGAAAGUAAUGGCUGCAGAAGAAGUUUCAAUGCAAGAGGCAGCCAGCUACUCCUGAUAUCAUGUUUUUCAGUAACUUCUGAACCUUGUGCAUCUAAGAUGUACUCAUUAAAUCCUUCCACAGCACUACAGACCAAGACUUCCGUACCUAACACAGGUCAGCCAAUGCCCUGGCACUGAGAAACUUAAGACACUUUGAUGGAAAAAUGAAUCAGCAGUGCUGAUAUUCCAGCAGAUUUCCAACCUGGAAUACUCCCUUUUUUCUAGAACACUGCAUUGGACCUGGAAGGACAUAACCUCCUGUCUCAAGAUACUGCUCAGUAACUGCUCAGAGAAGGCUGUACCAUGCUACCCAGCAAGGAACUUUUGUUGAGCUGUGACUCUGAGCAGAAGCACCAUCACCUUGUGAAUAGCAUCCAAGAUGGGAGUGAAGAGAUCUGUGUCAUAGUUGGAACGUUUGUUCUGCAGAACUGUCACCAGCCUUUCCAGACCCAUUCCUGUAUCCACAUGGUGCUGUGGCAAGGGAAGGAGAUUCCCAUCCAUCUCUCUGUCAGCCAGGCAGGAAAAAUAAAAGGCAAAAGAGAAGCAAGCAUCAGUUCAUGGGCAAAAAUAAGGAACAGGUGAAUCAAAGAGAAUGGGGGAAGUGACAGGGGAUGGAAACAGUGGGUGAUUCAGCAUAAGGAAGCUCAGGGACAAGAGCGACAGCAGCCUGCCUUGGCCCUGUCAGGCAGCCAGAAUCUGACUAUCACAUAGUUAGGAUAGGCUGCAAUGUAAGGAAAAAGGCCUCCUCCUCCAGGCUGUUGCAGACCCCAAGAGAUCUCUGGAAUGCAGCAUUAAGGGGUAUUCCCCCUUAAUAGGCAGUGAAGGCUGAAGAAGACAGGGAAAUAAAACAAAGGGGGCCAAGUGCUGGACAAAUCUCCGUAGCUUCUCUCUUGCUCCUGGUUCUGGAAAACAGUGAUAAGUCUGAGAAUAUACACAUGAUUUUGGAGUCAGGCUAGGGGGAAAGGCUCUGGAAUUCAGAUGACAUGCUUGGUACCUGCUGUACUGCAUGAAAACCAAGUUCCAGAUCUCCACUACAUCAGGGCUACCCUGGUUCACCAGUGCUGCAGCAUUUCUGCCACCACCCACGUGGUCAUAGUGGAUCUCUGUGCAGGGACCACAGGGACCUGUGUCCCCCAU